rnacentral:rRNA from 1 species
UACGAAGGAUCCAAGCGUUGUUCGGAAUUACUGGGCGUAAAGAGUGUGUAGGCGGUGCUCUAAGUUCGGUGUGAAAUCUCCUGGCUCAACUGGGAGGGUGCGCCGGAAACUGGAGUGCUUGAGCGUGGGAGAGGAAAGCGGAAUUCCUGGUGUAGCGGUGAAAUGCGUAGAUAUCAGGAGGAACACCUGUGGUGUAGACGGCUUUCUGGACCAUAGCUGACGCUGAGACACGAAAGCGUGGGUAGCAAACAGG